rnacentral:rRNA from 1 species
ACAGAGGCGGCAAGCGUUGUUCGGAAUUAUUGGGCGUAAAGAGCAUGUAGGCGGCUAUGUAAGUCGGUUGUGAAAGCCUUCCGCUUAACGGAAGAAUGGCGGUCGAAACUGCAUGGCUUGAGUGCGGGAGGGGAGAGUGGAACUUCUGGUGUAGCGGUGGAAUGCGUAGAGAUCGGGAGGAACAUCGGUGGCGAAGGCGGCCAGCUGGGCCGUUGCUGACGCUGAGUGUGCGAAAGCUAGGGGAGCAAACGG